rnacentral:rRNA from 1 species
AUUGACCGCUGGCGGCAGGCCUAACACAUGCAAGUCGAACGAGAGGCGGACGGGUGAGUAAUGUCUGGAAAACUGCCCGAUGGAGGGGGAUAACUACUGGAAACGGUAGCUAAUACCGCAUACCAUCGGAUGUGCCCAGAUGGGAUUAGCGUGUAGGUGAGGUAACGGCUCACCUAGGCGACGAUCCCUAGCUGGUCUGAGAGGAUGACCAACCACCCUGGAACUGAGACACGGUCCAGACCCCUCCGGGAGGCAGCAGUGGGGAAUAGUGCACAAUGGGCGCAAGCCUGAUGCAGCCAUGCCGCGUGUAUGACGAGGGCCUUCGGGUUGUAAAGUACUUUCAGCGGGGAGGCGUUACCCGCAGAAGAAGCACCGGCUAACUCCGUGCCAGCAGCCGCGGUAAUUC